rnacentral:lncRNA from 1 species
UUUGACUGCACACAUACAUGGUCUCUAGCCAUAUGGGUCCAUGCAGUGUAGAUUGGCUGCAGUAAGUUCACUGUAGGAGUAGGAUAUGCACCUAUAAGGAAUCUAUCGACCUUGAUAGAAGAGGAGUGAUCCUAUGUGAUCUGUUAGACUGAGUUCUAAAGACCUUGGCCAGGGCAGUAAUAUAAAGUGAAAAAAGAGUUUUCCACUAUCGAACUCAAGUCGAAUAAAUCUUGACAUAUGACAGACGAUGGGGUUUGACGAGUUGUCCAUGAUCUCCGUCCUGUAGGGAUCCACGAUAGUAGGACUGUAUCACAUGUUAACUGCACCUAGAGGUUCAUCUUUCUAUUCUACUGGGUAGCCACUACAUG